rnacentral:lncRNA from 1 species
GGUUAAGGUUAGGGUUGGGGUUAGGGUUAGGGUUGGGGUCGGGGUCGGGGUCGGAGUUAGGGUUGGGGUUAGGGUUGGGGUUAGGGUUAGAGUUAGGGUUGGGGUUGGGGUUGAGUUGGGGUUAGGGUUAGGGUUAGGGUUAGGGUUGGGGUUAGGGUUAGAGUUAGGGUUGGGGUUGGGGUUAGGGUUAGGGUUGGGGUUGGGGUCGGGGUCGGAGUUAGGGUUGGGGUUAGGGUUAGGGUUAGGGUUAGAGUUAGGGUUGGGGUUAGGGUUAGGGUUAGGGUUAGGGUUAGGGCUAGGAUGAGGGUUAGGAUGAGGGUUAGGAUGAAGGGUGGGAGAAGGUUAGGAUUUGAAGUUAGGUUUAGGGUUAGGAGUGGAAGAAGGUUGGGUUAGGGUUAGGGUUAGGGUGAGAGGUUGGAGAAGGUUAGGGUUUGGGUUAGGGUUAGGGGUGGGAGAAGGUUGGGGUUAGGUUUAGGGUGAGGGGUUGGAGAAGGUUAGGGUUAGGGUUUGGGUUAGGGUUAGGGGUGGGAGAAGGUUGGGGUUAGGGUUAGAGGGUUAGGGUUGGGGUUAGGGGACAAAGGUGGCGUUGGAGUUGAGAGUGUCAUAGAUUCAGUUGUUUACACCAGUUGUCAAAGAUGAGAGCUGCUGUUGUGGGGGCCCAAUUGAUGUUGUCAUUUGAUGUAAUGAAACUGUCAUGUGGUAUUGCAGAUAGUACUGGGUAAUAUGUUUUCAUGGCCUUGUUGUUUCGUUUCAGGUUGUCCUGUUGUUUCUGUGCUAACUGAGGGGAAUAGUUAAGAAUGGGAAAGUAGGUUUUUGAUUUGGGGAAGGUCAGUUUGGCAGUGCGGAAUAAUGCCUUUAAUUGUCUGAAUGUUUGUCUUGGGUCUUGGUCUCUGUCAUUAAUUCCCACAGCGAAAACUACAAUUUGGGUGUCCGGGUUAGACGGGGACUUUUCACAGACUUUUAAAAAUUGAUUUUGGCCUGUUUCGACCUGCAUUGUGAUGGGGUACAUAGCUCAGUCAGAUCCACCUGGGCACCAGCGGAGGGCAGUUGUGGAGAAGAGGGGACGAUCUUGUCUGGACCGCCUUCUACAAGAGGGAGUAACCAGAAUGAAGAGUUUUGGUCUUUCAGAUAGAGAAGAUCCAGAUCUUCAGACAUCAUUUAGAAAGUUGUGGACAAAGGAAAACAUAAAGAGAUCCUGACCUCACUGUCCUUUUGUGCAAUGACAGGAGCUCCAUCCUGAGCUCCAUCCACUGGUCUCCAACCCUUCCCCUGCGAUGAUUUAUGCCUCAUUAUCUAUUAUUAUUGUUAUUGUUGUUAUUAUUGUUGUUAUUAUUAUUCAUAUGGUGAACACAGCGGUGAGAGCUGAGCUUCUAUAUGCAGUCACACAAGGUGGCAAACAUCAAGAAGUGACCAGAGCCACAUUUUACACAUCUGAGUAAAGAUCUGUCUCCUGUGUGUGUGAGUGUGUGUGUGUGUGUGUGUGUGAGUGUGUGUGUGUGUGAGAGAGAGAGAGAGAGAGAGAGAGAGAGAGACAUUAACCAAACUUUAUGAAGCUAGUAUCAUGAAAAUUGAUUAGUCGUACAGAAAAGAAGGUUAAUCGAGACCUUAAAUAAGGACUAUAACUCUCUAUCUGCGUCUCUCUGUGUCCCUCUAUGUGUCUCUCACUCCGUCUCU